UGUUGCAUUUCUUUCAAGGUUCUCUUCCAUUUCAAAAACUGAUUUUCCUCUUUUCCACGUCCAGAAUCUUUUCACUCAGAUAAUCUUAUGUGGCCUAUAAACAGACACCUAAAUAUGUCACUUUAAUCACACUUUAAUUAUAACAGAGAUGCAGAUCUUCAGUGUCAGUAAAAAAUGAGAACAUGGACCUUACAAUACACACUAUAUUGAUGAUACUCUGAAAAGUCAAAAUAUAACACCUUUCAGUAUUGCUGCAUCAUGGAAAAAAAUAGUUCAACUCUGAAUCGUU
rnacentral:lncRNA from 1 species